GACGAACGCUGGCGGCGUGCCUAAUACAUGCAAGUAGAACGCACAGUUUAUACCGUAGCUUGCUACACCAUAGACUGUGAGUUGCGAACGGGUGAGUAACGCGUAGGUAACCUGCCUGGUAGCGGGGGAUAACUAUUGGAAACGAUAGCUAAUACCGCAUAAUAUUAAUUAUUGCAUGAUAAUUGAUUGAAAGGUGCAAAUGCAUCACUACCAGAUGGACCUGCGUUGUAUUAGCUAGUAGGUGAGGUAACGGCUCACCUAGGCGACGAUACAUAGCCGACCUGAGAGGGUGAUCGGCCACACUGGGACUGAGACACGGCCCAGACUCCUACGGGAGGCAGCAGUAGGGAAUCUUCGGCAAUGGACGAAAGUCUGACCGAGCAACGCCGCGUGAGUGAAGAAGGUUUUCGGAUCGUAAAGCUCUGUUGUAAGAGAAGAACGGGUGUGAGAGUGGAAAGUUCACACUGUGACGGUAUCUUACCAGAAAGGGACGGCUAACUACGUGCCAGCAGCCGCGGUAAUACGUAGGUCCCGAGCGUUGUCCGGAUUUAUUGGGCGUAAAGCGAGCGCAGGCGGUUAGAUAAGUCUGAAGUUAAAGGCUGUGGCUUAACCAUAGUACGCUUUGGAAACUGUUUAACUUGAGUGCAGAAGGGGAGAGUGGAAUUCCAUGUGUAGCGGUGAAAUGCGUAGAUAUAUGGAGGAACACCGGUGGCGAAAGCGGCUCUCUGGUCUGUAACUGACGCUGAUGCUCGAAAGCGUGGGGAGCGAACAGG
rnacentral:rRNA from 1 species